rnacentral:rRNA from 1 species
CGAAAACGAAUUCUCUCUUGAGUGGAUCCUGAGUACGACGGAGCACGUGAAAUUCCGUCGGAAUCUGGGAGGACCAUCUCCUAAGGCUAAAUACUCUCUAGUGACCGAUAGUGAACCAGUACCGUGAGGGAAAGGUGAAAAGUACCCCGGAAGGGGAGUGAAAGAGAACUUGAAACCGUGUGCUUACAAGUAGUCAGAGCCCGUUAAUGGGUGAUGGCGUGCCUUUUGUAGAAUGAACCGGCGAGUUACGAUCUGAUGCAAGGUUAAGCAGAAAAUGUGGAGCCGUAGCGAAAGCGAGUCUGAAUAGGGCGAAUGAGUAUUUGGUCGUAGACCCGAAACCAGGUGAUCUACCCUUGGUCAGGUUGAAGUUCAGGUAACACUGAAUGGAGGACCGAACCGACUUACGUUGAAAAGUGAGCGGAUGAACUGAGGGUAGCGGAGAAAUUCCAAUCGAACUUGGAGAUAGCUGGUUCUCUCCGAAAUAGCUUUAGGGCUAGCCUCAAGUGAUGAUUAUUGGAGGUAGAGCACUGUUUGGACGAGGGGCCCCUCUCGGGUUACCGAAUUCAGACAAACUCCGAAUGCCAAAUAAUUUAACUUGGGAGUCAGAAUGUGGGUGAUAAGGUCCAUAUUCGAAAGGGAAACAGCCCAGACCACCAGCUAAGGUCCCAAAAUAUAUGUUAAGUGGAAAAGGAUGUGGCGUUGCCCAGACAACUAGGAUGUUGGCUUAGAAGCAGCCAUCAUUUAAAGAGUGCGUAAUAGCUCACUAGUCGAGUGACACUGCGCCGAAAAUGUACCGGGGCUAAACAUAUUACCGAAGCUGUGGAUUGUCCUUUGGACAAUGGUAGGAGAGCGUUCUAAGGGCGUUGAAGCAUGAUCGCAAGGACAUGUGGAGCGCUUAGAAGUGAGAAUGCCGGUGUGAGUAGCGAAAGACGGGUGAGAAUCCCGUCCACCGAUUGACUAAGGUUUCCAGAGGAAGGCUCGUCCGCUCUGGGUUAGUCGGGUCCUAAGCUGAGGCCGACAGGCGUAGGCGAUGGAUAACAGGUUGAUAUUCCUGUACCACCAUUA